CGGUGACGAUGGCGAGGGGUUUUUGGGUUGUGGGUUUGUCGAAACGGAGGUUGGGUAUGCGACGGCGGAGGACGGCGGUGAAAGAGGAGUUUGUUGGGAUGUAGGUGACGGCGGAUGUGAAAGUCUGCGGGUUCGAUCCCUCUCGUACGAUACACCGGAGGAAAGUCGCCGGAUCGGGAAUGGGUUGUGAAGUUGCUACUGAAACUGAGAUUAGUAGCAGAGAGACUAAGAGUAAUUUUUCCAUUUUUUGGUUUUGCUGGUUAAAUUUCGGAGUUUGGAUUAAGAUAUAUUUGUUUGAUUGUGUGUGUCUAUAUUUAUAUAGAUGAGAGAGUUUAUAGUAAUCCAAGCUUCUUAUUGGUUCAAUAGUAGUUGAGUAUAAACAAUUUUUCUUUUGUAGUUUAAUGUUUCUUUUCUCUAAUUGAAUAGUGGAGUUAUUGAAUGUCUGUCUAGAGAAGAAUUAUUAUUCAAUGUCGAAGCUUGUAAAGAACUAACUUUUAGUCCGAGUACCUUAUCCAAACCUAAUUGAAAAUUUAAUCUUCUCCUUUUUAAGAUUGCAGAUAGUUUGUGAAAGAUCAAAACAAAUUGUCAAACUGAUGAUAUAUAUGAUAUGGAUUGUUAUACCAUGUUAUAAGAGACUCGGAGCACGGUUCUGAGUUCUGACAAGCUUACUGUUGUUAUCAACAUAACUAGCUUAUUCUCUCCUGUUAUAAUCUAUUGUAUUCAAUUGUGAAUAUAAGCUAACUCAAAACCAAUUCCAAUCUGAUUUUGCUAUGUGCGGAUAUGAAUCAAUGUGGCCAACUUUGGGUUGGGUCAAUUUUGAUAUCACUAAUUUUACCUCAGUUACAGAUCGGAUUGAACAUUUUGGAUCGGAAUCUAAUUCCAUGUUAAAGUCAAUAUGAGUUUUUAACUUAUUUCUCAAAAUCGAUAGGUAAUGAGUUGAUUGGCCAACUUUCUAUAUAUUAGUUAAGAAUAUUAUUCUCUAAUAUCAUGAAUUGAAUGAUCUCAUUUACAUAUCAUUUUAAAAAUAUAUAUACUACCAGCAGGGUUUGGUUUUAACAAAUGUCACGAUAUUUUAACAAAUAAUAGAGACUAGUAUAGGUUUUUUUUCAAACGAUUAGUAUAGGUUUUGGUAUGAGAUUAUUAGUUAUAUAAAAAGAAUAUACAAUUUAUUUUCACGUUCUUUUACAGCUAAUGUGUUUUUAUCCAGAUUUAAUGGUAUAGUGGACUAAACUAAAUAUAUUUGACUUCAACUUACAUAUUAAUGCGCACUACGCGAUAGCCAAUAACGUGUCAUAAUCUAAAUACUUGACUUUUAAAGCUUGUCGCUUGCAGUGGUCAAAUGAGAGAUUUUGGCGGUUAAAAGAUAUAUGUGUAACCUAUGCGUGAUGCAGUACGGAUCGAGUAUUAUUUUUAUUUUAAUAAAGUAAGAUCUGUCAAAGAACAUAUAUCUGUAUAUCGUGCAAGUCUUGCUUAUAUCAAAUCCGCGUUAAUACAGAGAAGCGUUGAAAUGUCUUGGUCAACAAAUGUAUACAUCGUUCAUGCAUUUGAGUGUGAUAUCCUUUGGUAUAUAAAAGAUUCAUAAGUUGACAAUUUGACAACAUAUUAGUUUCUUAUAUUCAGCGCUUAACUGAUAGUAGAAACAGUUUAAAUAAAAUAUACUAAUUACAAAUAGUUUAAACUCGUUUAAAUCCAUCUAUUACUAACUUAAAGUAGACAAACAAACAAGUGCCACUGAAUGGAGCAUAAUUGCGCUAAUGCAUUUUUAAACUUUAACGAUCAAUCAUUUGUUCAACGCUGCUCAGAAAAAGUGGUUAGCUAUCAAAGAUCUUCCAUUAUUAUUAUUGUUAUCAUUCUUUUGCUAAAACUGUAAAUAUCAUUAAUGGAAUGAAUGUAACAAAAGUUAAACCUAUAUACUUGUUACCUUGGCAAACAAGAAUAAGAACAAGGAAACAAAAUGCUUCGGAAUAGUGAUUUUCCUUCCAUUAUUUUUUAGGAAAAAUAUACAUGAACCAAAAUGCCAAUGGGAGAUCUUGGGAAUCAAUAGAUCAAAGAAGAUAUAACAUAAACCAUGUUUUUAUCUAAUUUUUUGUAGUUCUUGAAGCCACGUCUACUGUCGUCUGUCGACCAGCAGUCGAUGAUGGUGGCAGUGGUGUUGUGAUAUUGAUGUUUUUUUUUUUUUUUGGUAAACUUAAAAAAUAAAAGUUUAUGCUUAUCUGUAACAUUUUACAGCAUCGCAAUUAGUGUUGUACGUCUAUUUUGUUAAUUGACUUUACAUUCAAACCAGAGAUCUUAAUACAUUUUGUAACAAUAUACCGAACCGAAGAUCUUAAUACAUGGUUCUUAUUCACUUUCAAUACAUGUUACAAAUCACAACACUCGUGUCGUCCUCAUUAUCUUCGUACCGGGAUACUUUGUUCGUUCUUCCAAAAGUUUUCCGCAUCGAUGGAAGAUUUAAUAUCCACUAACCUCUCGAAAUUGUCUAUGUAAUAUUUAACCCCAUAGAUUUUACCUUCCUCGUACGUGGAACUAACACUUGACCCUAUAUCAAGAUCACGGUAAUUUAAAAACGUCUCCCUCGGAUUACUAGACACGUACGGGCUCAUGAAUUCAUACAUCUCUCUCGCACGUGCCAAAUGAUCCUUCUCCACGUCAUCUCCAGCUUCUGACCAGCUAACGAGAUACUCGAUCUUGUACAAAUUACCGGCUCUGUGUGGGAACGGUAUCCUCGAACUCGGGAUCUCACCCAUUCUUCCUCCGUAUGGAUUCAUAUACAUUUUCACUUUCUCAACUUCCACCAAUUUCUUGAGUAUUAAACCGAGACCGGUUCUCGAAAUCGGACGUUUCACAUAGUCUGAUUUUCGUUUAUGGAAAGCCUUACUCGCAACCGUCGGGUUAAGCAAUACCGAGGUUGGUGUACCGAUUGGAAAACCGGCCCAGAACAAGACCGAAUCGAUCCAUCUCAUCUCGGUACAAUCACUUUUCUUCAGCUUUAGCUCCGGGAAAUCCCGGUUCAUCACGUUCAACAUCUUAUCAGACCGGCCUAAAUACAUCCCAAUAAAAGAAGCUAAAACCGUUUUUUCACCAGCCUUUGUACCGUUGACCAAAGUCAACGUCAGCCUCACGAACAGAUUCCGAUCUGUACUGUGAGCGAAACUCUGCCACUUCAUAAUAAGAUCGACGGCUCCUUCUCCGACGGUUUUCUCGAUGGUAAAAACCGUAACUUUCUCCGGCACCGGAACCAACCGGAUUUUAUAUCCGAGCACGACGCCGAAACUCGCCGCCCCACCUCCUCGAAUCGCCCAGAACCGAUCUUCUCCCAUCGAAACCCGGUCGGUGAAGAUAUUCCCAUUGGAAUCAACGAUUCCAGAUCCGACAACAUUGUCCACAGACAAUCCGUACUUUCUCAUCAUCGUUCCGUACCCUCCGCCGCUAAAAUGUCCACCAACUCCCAAAGUCGUACACAAACCAGCCGGAAACCCAAGGACAUUGCUUUUCUCGGCGAUUCGGUAAUAAAGCUCUCCGGUGGUAGCGCCGGAAUCGACCCAAGCCGUUCCCUCGGUGAGAUUAACGUCAACAUUUCUGAAACUGAACAUGUCGAGGACGAAGAACGGGACGGUGGAGGUGUAAGACAGUCCUUCGAAGUCGUGGCCUCCGCUUCGUAUCCUGACCUGAAGAGAGAGCUCGCGGGCGCAUCCUAACGCCGCCUGAAUGUGUGUCCACGUGGCGGCGGUGACGAUUGCUACCGGUUUUGGUGUUGUGGGUUUGUCGAAACGGAGGUUGGGUAUGCGACGGCGGAGGACGGCGGUGAAGGAGGAGUUUGUUGGGAUGUAGGCGACGGCGGAGUUUGGACUCGCCGGGUCUGUUGGCUGUCGUUCAAGACAUCGGAGGAAAGCGACCGGAUCGGUCACGGGUUGUGAAGUUGCAACUGAGAUUGCGAUUAGUAGCAGAGAAGUUACGAGUAAUUUUUCCAUAGUUUUUGCUUGUUUAGUUUUGGGAGUUUCGGUUUUGUCUUUUUGAAAGCUCGUGUGUGUGUGAGGGUGUAUUUAUAUAUAGAGGAGAUUCAAAGUUCGCAUUUUCUGAAGUAAUUUUUUUAUUUUU
rnacentral:lncRNA from 1 species